UCUACCCCGUAGGAUAAACUCCUCAUUCUCUAACUGAAAUUUUCAUCAACUUUUUCUUCUGCGGUUUCUUCUCUCACCACUCCGAGAAAUUACUCACAAGUCCGUCCCCUCCCUGCUUUCUCCAAAUUGGAAGCACCCACGCCACCCACUGGGCGCCCCAGCCCCCGCCUAGGCGGCGGAGCUCCGGGAGGCUGCAAGUUCCGGAGCGAGCGAGCGCCUGCAGCUGCACCUUGGCCAAGAGGCGGCGCGGGGAGCAGCGGGCGCCGUAGUCGACGACAACUGCAUCAUUCUAUACGAGGACGCUUCAAAAGCUUCGUGGAAAAGUAAAGUUAAAAGUGUUUUCGUUGCAAAAACCACAAAGCUCAGAAAUCCAUGCAUUUUUACAACACGAAUUUUCCAUGAACUUUUUGGAGACUGCGUGUAUGUUCACACCAAUAACUCGACCCCGCUCCUGCACAACCCACAUCCCUUCAGUUAGGAAAUCGCGUUUCCUCCUUGGUUAGUUGCAGACUUCGAGGGGCACAAUCCCUCUCGGUUUGGGUCUCUGCAUUUUGGCGAGCGAUUCUGCUGCUAGAGGUGUGAGAUAGGUUCAACUCGGACCUACAGCUCGCUCAGUUCUUGGCAUCUGGGCCCCGUGGUCGCGGCAUCAGGGCUGGGGCGCGCGCUGCACUUGGCUGUGGCUCUGCAGGUGCGCGGACCACAGGCCGGGAUUUGUGGCCCCUCCCGGCGCGCGCAGCGCUCGAGGCUCCCCUGGGUCCCCCGCGCCCUCAGGAACGUCCGGGGCCAGUGGGAGCGCGGGGGACGCCCGGGCAGGGAGCGACCAGUAAGGGAAGGGCAACCGUCCUCCGGCGCCGCGGCCACGAGGAGGCAGGUCCUGCUCCCCGGGGGCUGAGCAGCGCUUGACCUUGCUGGGCUGGAGCUUUCCCCGUGCUUUCUAGGAAGCCCAAGGGGGCAACUGGUAAUUAAAAAAAUAAAAAGAAUCGGAUGCUUAAACAUCCACCUGCGGCUCUGGCAUCACAGAGGUUCACAACAAAGUUCACAGCCAAGAGUAGGAAUAACCCAAUUGUCCAUCCGUGGUGCUAUGUUCACAUCCGGAAUAACACCAUCAAUAGCACCAACAGAAGACAAGGCAUGACAUGGAGGCACCUCAAAAACUAGAAUAAAAUGAAAGCCUCGGAAAAGUAUUUAACUCAAGAUCUAGUCAUCUUUUAAAUGAUUCCCAGAACAAGUAAGGAAGUAAUAUAUUCUGAGAAGGUCCUGCUGAGCUGAAAAUGACAUCGUAGAGCUUUCCAGACACCUAAUCACGCUUAAUCAUUUCCUCUUACUGCCCUCACUAUUUCAAACAGAGAAUGGUGCCAAACAGAAAUAAUAUCCCAACUACCAGAAACGGAAGGACGUGAAACCAGACAUGAAGCGGUGGCUGGGAGCCUGCAACAGGAAAACACAAAGAGAGGAGCUACUAUUGGGAAGGGGUCUGGCCGCAUUCUGUUUGGAAGAGAAGGUUGGCCAAGCUCUGAUGUGCCCGCCCACCGGGGGAGGGGGGAGGGCCCCGGGUGGUCUCAGGGAGCCCGAGGGAGCUACAGGUGGGCCCAUGAGAACUUCACCUGCAGGGGCCAGCAGGGGACUUGCUCCCUGGUUUCAGAGAUGACUGCCAUCUAUAUUGUUUAAUGACUGAAACGAAUUUGGGUUAAAGAUUAACCCUUUGUUCUGGUGCUCACAGGCCCUUGGCACCAGUAAGAGACACCUGGGCAGGAGGUGAUGUGCAGCCCGCACAGUGGCGCUCCCAGCAGUAUACACUUUGAGUGCCUCAAACAAAGUCUGCAGCCCAGGGUGUCCAGGUCCCUGGAUCUGUGACAAUCCAUGGGAGGAACUCAGUCUGCUCUGGCAGAGAUGGCGGCUGAUGGCGAGGUGGGGCUGGAAGGAGCAGGGGAGAGUGUGAGUGAGAGCAGAGAGGGGAAACAGAGAAGUAUGGGGAAGGGGAACAGAAAAGAGAAGAAGCAAAAGAGAAAGACGAUGGCAAGGUAAGAAAUGGGGGCAGGAAGGAAAAUAAAAGACAGGAGAUGUACCGAAUUCUGUGAGAAGGGUGAAGUCCUGAAUCGAGCUGGGAAUGGACUGGUGGGCGUUCCCGGGGCGGAUUCCCCCUCCUGCCUGGGCCAUGGACUCCUCUCAGGCCCGCGGGAGAAGAUGGAGCCCUCCCCAGCGCCCGAGGCCCCCGGCGCGCCCACUCACCGAGCACCCCCAGCUCCAGCACGACGCUGCGCUUCCGCACCCCUCCGUCCUCCGUGGCCGCCUCACACCAGUACGAGCCCGAGUCCUCCCCUCCGGCACGUG